UGCAGGAGCCGCUAAGAUAAGACAACGGAGGUUGCUCAGAAUUGUUCUAUGUUUACAUCUCAUCAAGCUGGGAUACUGAACGAGCUGGUUGCCCACCCUGGCCCACCUGAGCCCAUGGCUCCCCACAGGAGGACAUUCUUGGAUCUCCAGCUCCUCAGCUUUCCUAUGUGUAUUUUCCCCACUGAGGUGCCUCUGGAAAACGAUAUGCAGUGGGACAGAAGAGAAAAGACUUGGUGCCUUCGAAAGUGUGAAGCCAUGAGAGCGGCCCCCCGACUAGAGAGAGCGAGCCACAUUACCACAGCCAGACAGAGCCCCCUCUCCCACUCACCCAGCAAAACCUGCUCAGUUCAGAUAACACCAAGGACAGACAGGAAUGAGAGAAAAGCCUUCCUUCUGCUAGGUGUGUAAGCCCUGGAGAAAAAAACCUCACAGCAUCCAGCCAAUUGGAAGGCAUGCCUUCUCACGCCCAGUAGUUCAGCAUCUGAGCCUCACUACAGAACGGCUGUGUGGUUGGUCAGUUCCAUGUUGAUUUGAAGCAGGAUAGAAUAAAAUAUGGGAACACGAGAAGGGGAAGACACCCCUCUCUCUGGGGUCUAGCUGAAGACUCACCGGCUGAGAGGCAUUAAUCACAGGGAAAUCAAUAGUGUCGGCCUUCCCUCCUCCCUGGCAUUUUCUAGAACCUCCAUGUGCAGCCCCAGUGGCUUGUGGUUUUAUUUUAUCAGAUUAUAACUCCACCCGGGGAGACACCCAGAAUCUCAAUAAUAAAAAAAGGACUAGACAUAUGGGAGAGUUGGGUACCAUCUUAGCCCAUUCAGCAGAGACGAGGGAGAUGGUUUAAUGGACAAGAGGACCUGCCGUGAAAGCACGAGAACCUGAUUCACAUCUGCGGCACCCACAGAAAAGCUAUGACUGGCCGUGUAACUUCAGCACUGAGGGGCAGAGACAGGCACAUCCCAGGCCCUUGAUGGCCGGCUGGACGAGCCAAUGGUGAGCUCCAGGUUCCAUGAGAGACCCUGUCUUGAAAGGACAAAAUGGAAGGUAAUAGGAGAAGAUAGUCGAUCUCCUCUUCUGCCCUCUGAAUGGAUGUGCAUCAGACAGACACACACAGACACACACACACACACAGACGCUCCCAAAGUCCUGUAUAUCAUCAGCAGUAUGACACUUCAGUGUGACUCUUCUUUGAGAAGUUUCCCUCCCCCAAUGCUCUUGGGAGUCAUAGUCUUUCCCUGAGUGCCUUUCUAUUUUUUUUUUUAAAUAAACUGCAGCUCCAUUUCAUAC
ensembl:antisense Rspo4os R-spondin 4, opposite strand